UACGUAGGGUGCAAGCGUUGUCCGGAAUUAUUGGGCGUAAAGAGCGUGUAGGCGGCCGUACAGGUCAGCUGUGAAAACUCGAGGCUCAACCUCGAGACGUCGGUUGAAACCGUACGGCUAGAGUCCGGAAGAGGAGAGUGGAAUUCCCGGUGUAGCGGUGAAAUGCGCAGAUAUCGGGAAGAACACCCGUGGCGAAGGCGGCUCUCUGGGACGGUACUGACGCUGAGACGCGAAAGCGUGGGGAGCGAACAGG
rnacentral:rRNA from 1 species